CUGGAGGGGAGUAAACAAUUGAAAUGUACAACAUUCUAAAAAAGAUACUGAUGUGCAUUAAUUGUAAGACUGACUAUAGGCUUAAGAUCUUUACACCUAUAUACUGUGCUGUUUUCACUUUUCAUGAAUUAUUUUUCAUGUGUUUCUGGUUCUCUGCAUGCAACAUGUGUAGGUUCAUCUGGCAUACAUUCUAAAGAACAAGAAUCCACAUCAUGCAUAACCCAAUCCAUUAACUGAACUAGAGUAUAAAGAGCUUAUGUAUCUGGAAAAUUAUCAUUAUCAGUGAGAGGAAUAGAUGCAUUUAUUUCGUCCCACACUUCCAGACAUCCU